AAACAAACAACUGCCGUAUACACUUGUUUACAAAUGCCAUGUUUAUCCGAUGCAUUGAUAUAAAUAUAAAUUUUUUUAUUUUGUUCGGUUAUAUAACCUAAGACAUUGAGUAAAAUGUUAUCAUGUAAAAAAAUGACAAUUAUGAAUUGACUUUGUCCUAAUUUUGAACGCUGUAAUUGAGGAAUUUAAUUUUCAACUCCCAAAUAAAAUGAUUGAGGAUUAUUAUCCGAUUCUGUUGUAUAGUUCAAAAUAUGUUUACGCGAUAUGAAAUUUAUCUGCCUUCUCAAUUCGGUCGAGUUAUCAGCGGGCCGCUCGAAGUGGCCUACGUGACUAGCGGCCCCCUCGUAGUGGCGUCGUGGCGCCAAGCGAAUUACUGCCUUAUCGACAUUUAAAGCAGUUUCUCUUAAUACAAAUAAAAAUUAUACAAACGG